rnacentral:rRNA from 1 species
UUAGAAUUUAUUUAUUAAUUUAUGUUUAUUUUGUUUAUAAUUUAUUAAAAAUAAUUAUAUAAUUUAAUGUUUUAGUAGUUUGUAAUGAAAAAAUAAUAUUAAUGAUAGUUUAUUAAGUAUUGUGAAAGAUAAUUGAAAUAAUUUGAAAAAUGAUUAUUUAAAAAGAAAAUUUUAUUUAUUGUACCUUGUGUAUCAGGGUUUAUCAAAUAAUUAAUAAUUAUUUUAUUAAUCUCGAUUUUAUAAGAGUUAGUUAUUUAUUAAAGUUAAUGUGUCAAAAUUAUUUUAAAUAGAUGAUUAGAAAUGAAAUGUUAUUCGUUUAUAAAGGUAUCUAGUUUUUUUAGAAAUAAAUUUAAUUUACAAAUUUUUAAUUUUUUGUUUAUUUAUUUAAAUAAAAGAGUUAUUAAUUUGAAUAUUUUAAGGGAUAAGCUUUAAAAUAAAUUAUUAAAAAUUAGUAAUUUUAAUAUAAAAUGUAUGAAUAGAAUUUUCAAUCAUUUAUAAAUUUGUUAUAAAUUAUUUUAUAAUUUUUAUUAUUUACUGUUAUUUUAAGUUUUUAUAAAAAUUUUUUCGUGAAUUUUUUAUGAGAAUUAAUAAUGAUAAAAUUAGUAUAUUUUAUAUAAUGUAUAUAUAUAAUUUUAUUUGAUAAGUUUAUAUAAAGAACUCGGCAAAUUUAUAUACUCGCCUGUUUAACAAAAACAUGUCUUUUUGAGUUAUUUUUAAAGUCUGACCUGCCCACUGAAUAAUUUUGAAUGGCCGCAGUAUUCUAACUGUGCAAAGGUAGCAUAAUCAUUAGUCUUUUAAUUGAAGGCUGGUAUGAAUGGUUGGACGAAGUAUAAUCUGUUUCAUAUAAAUUUAUUAUAGAAUUUUAUAUUUUAGUUAAAAAGCUAAAAUUUAAUUAAAAGACGAGAAGACCCUAUAAAUCUUUAUAUUUAAUAUUAUUUUAAUUUUUUAGAUUAAUUUUAUUUUAAUACUAUUAAUUAUUUUGUUGGGGUGAUGUUAAAAUUUAAUAAACUUUUAAUUAUUAAAAAUCAUUAAUUUAUGAUUUAUUGAUCCGUUAAUAACGAUUAUAAGAUUAAGUUACUUUAGGGAUAACAGCGUAAUUUUUUUGGAGAGUUCUUAUCGAUAAAAAAGUUUGCGACCUCGAUGUUGGAUUAAGAUAUAUUUUUAGGUGUAGUCGCUUAAAUAUUAAGUCUGUUCGACUUUUAAAUUCUUACAUGAUCUGAGUUCAGACCGGCGUAAGCCAGGUUGGUUUCUAUCUUUAAUUUGUUAUAAUAUCUUAGUACGAAAGGACCAGGUAUUAGAAUAAUUAUAUUUUAAUUUAUAGAUUAAUAUUAAUUGA